UACGGGGGGGGCAAGCGUUGUUCGGAGUUACUGGGCGUAAAGCGCACGUAGGCGGCUUUGUAAGUUAGAGGUGAAAGCCCAGGGCUCAACCCUGGAAUUGCCUUUAAGACUGCAUCGCUUGAACAUCGGAGAGGUAAGUGGAAUUCCGAGUGUAGAGGUGAAAUUCGUAGAUAUUCGGAAGAACACCAGUGGCGAAGGCGACUUACUGGACGAUUGUUGACGCUGAGGUGCGAAAGCGUGGGGAGCAAACAGG
rnacentral:rRNA from 1 species